rnacentral:rRNA from 1 species
GCCUACGGGACGCAGCAGUGGGGAAUAUUGCACAAUGGGGGGAACCCUGAUGCAGCGACGCCGCGUGAGUGAGGAAGUAUUUCGGUACGUAAAGCUCUAUCAGCAGGGAAGAAAAAAGGACGGUACCUGAGUAAGAAGCCCCGGCUAACUACGUGCCAGCAGCCGCGGUAAUACGUAGGGGGCAAGCGUUAUCCGGAUUUACUGGGUGUAAAGGGAGCGUAGACGGCUGCGCAAGUCUGAAGUGAAAGCCCGGGGCUCAACCCCGGGACUGCUUUGGAAACUGUGUAGCUAGAGUGCUGGAGAGG